AGAGUUUGAUCCUGGCUCAGGAUGAACGCUAGCUACAGGCUUAACACAUGCAAGUCGAGGGGCAGCAUGAUUGAAGCUUGCUUCAAUUGAUGGCGACCGGCGCACGGGUGAGUAACGCGUAUCCAACCUUCCGUACACUCAGGGAUAGCCUUUCGAAAGAAAGAUUAAUACCUGAUGGUAUGAUGAGAUUGCAUGAUAGCAUCAUUAAAGAUUUAUCGGUGUACGAUGGGGAUGCGUUCCAUUAGGUAGUAGGCGGGGUAAUGGCCCACCUAGCCGACGAUGGAUAGGGUUCUGAGAGGAAGGUCCCCCACAUUGGAACUGAGACACGGUCCAAACUCCUACCGGGAGGCGA
rnacentral:rRNA from 1 species